rnacentral:lncRNA from 1 species
AUCAAUUCACCUUCUGCCCUCUAUCUGAACGAUUUUGACAUAAAUCAAAGGGCUGAGCAGUGCACAACCCUAGAGACAGACAUGCUGGCAUUCAUUCUUGUGACAAGUUUAUAUCGUGCACAAAGAUAUCUCACAAGGUAUAGGCUGGACGCCUCUGGCCCUCUGGACUGUCCGUGCAGUACACCACCUUACACUGCCAUCCAGUGAGUCUGGCACAUACAGGCCGGACGUCUCUGCAGCCCUUUCCAGAUGGCAAAUGAGCAAAGAGUCCAUGUGAUGGGUGAGAGAAGUCUUAGACUUUGAUGACAGUCUUGCAGAUGCCCUUUGUGUUGUAGCUAUCCUAGAAAUUAGGUUAAAAAAAAAAAGCUCCAAUAAUGUUCUCAGCUGUUUUUACUGUCAUCUGCUAAAACUUGUGGUCAGAAACCACAAUCCCGGUACCAGACAGUAAUGCAUCUGGACAGCACACUCUCUACCUCCUGGUGCCACACGAUACGGGAACAAAUACUUUCCAGAUAUCCUCUGUUCACGCAUAAAAUGCAAU